rnacentral:lncRNA from 1 species
UACUGUAGCCAUAGACUCUCGGACUUAACUUCUCAAAUCUCAUAGAAUUACUCCUCUCUAUCAAGGUUAAUAGAUUCCAUCUAGAUGCACACCCUACUCCUACAGUGGACCAACUAUCACCAACAUUCAUUACAAGAUCUCAAUGAGGCUAUGUUUAUGUAUCAGUCAAACUUUAAUAGCCUUACUGGAGCAAUCGUGCCAUCGCAGGUCAAAGGACU